GAUGAACGCUGGCGUCGUGCCUAAUACAUGCAAGUCGAGCGAACGGACGAGAAGCUUGCUUUUCUGAUGUUAGCGGCGGACGGGUGAGUAACACGUGGAUAACCUACCUAUAAGACUGGGAUAACUUCGGGAAACCGGAGCUAAUACCGGAUAAUAUUUUGAACCGCAUGGUUCAAAAGUGAAAGACGGUCUUGCUGUCACUUAUAGAUGGAUCCGCGCUGCAUUAGCUAGUUGGUAAGGUAACGGCUUACCAAGGCAACGAUGCAUAGCCGACCUGAGAGGGUGAUCGGCCACACUGGAACUGAGACACGGUCCAGACUCCUACGGGAGGCAGCAGUAGGGAAUCUUCCGCAAAGGGCGAAAGCCUGACGGAGCAACGCCGCGUGAGUGAUGAAGGUCUUCGGAUCGUAAAACUCUGUUAUUAGGGAAGAACAUAUGUGUAAGUAACUGUGCACAUCUUGACGGUACCUAAUCAGAAAGCCACGGCUAACUACGUG
rnacentral:rRNA from 1 species